GCUGAGCAACUCACCCCAUGACAUUGAGUGGUGGAGCCAGCAUGUGGGCCCAGAUGUAACUGAACACAGUCCCCUAUGCUAUGCUGCAAGAAAAGAGUCAGGUCAACUGGUGUCCAGCCUCAGCCCCACAGGUGGCUGGAGUAUGAAGAGGGGUUACCAGGAGUGGGGUUCCAGGGCCCCAUCUCGUUUUUAAUCACAGUGAUCAGGAUGUGGCCAUUCUCAACCUGUUGAAGAGUGCAAAAAAGUACCUACAGAAGCAGAAAAAUGCGCAAGAAGACCACAUUUUUCUCUCCGCUUCCAUUCAACAGACCAGGAGGCUGCAGAAGGUUAGGUGGGCAGGCAGUGCCCAAACAGCAGGAGAGCCAGGAGUUGCUGGGAGAGUGAGGCUGCCUCUCUUCCACUCUGUGGCAUCCUGUCCUGGCAGGCUGCUCCCUGCAAGGCAGACACCUUCUCCCACACAGACUCACCUUGACCUGCGACUCGGUCAUCCCCAGUGAGUAUGCCAGCCGUGCCCUCUCAGGGCCAGCCAGGUACUUGGUCUGUUCAAAGGUCUUCUCCAGGGCAAAGAUCUGAUG